rnacentral:rRNA from 1 species
UACAGAGGUGCCAAGCGUUAGGCGGAAUCACUGGGCUUAAAGCGCGUGUAGGCGGGUCGUUAAGUGUCCGCGGGAAAUCCCACGGCUCAACCGUGGAACUGCUUGGUAUACUGCUUAUCUUGGGCCACUUAGGGGUUACCGGAACAAACGGUGGAGCGGUGAAAUGCGUAGAUAUCGUUUGGAACGCCAAUGGUGAAGACAGGUAACUGGGAGUGUGCCGACGCUGAGACACGAAAGCCAGGGGAGCGAACGGG